AGGGAGUGCUGAGGGGAUUGGCUGGCCCUAUGCUCCAUAUUCACAGAAGCAGGAUGAGGCUGGGAAGCCUGCUGAGAAAAUGGUGUCGUAAUCAGGAGCCGGCAGUUCUGCCUGAUCAGGUUUGGGCCUGAAAGACGUGCCAGACCUGCUGCCAAAGCAUCGGCCUCCACCUCACCCUCCAGACAUGGCUGAAUACACACACACACACACACACACACACACACACACACACACACACACACACACACACACACACACACAUGCAUACACACAUAAACACGCACACACAGGCACUGUGAAAACCGUGCUCCUCUAUGUGUUUUCAAGUAUGUUAACACACUUGUGUCCUAUGCCUUAUUCAUGUGCACACACACACACACACACAUUCUUGCCAUCUCUACAUUCUGUCUAUCUCUGAUGAUAGAGUCAUUGCGCACUCUCAUGCCUCGUGUCAGACGUAGACACGAUUGAGCCACGUUCACACGGUCUCUCUCAACACAAACAUAAACACACGCAUGCGUUCAGUUUGUCAGUUGUCUCUCAGGCAUGCCCUAUUUUUAAAACUUUGAGCACACCUACACACAUUCUCCCAUGCUUGGGCACACCCACUGCAACCCAUGUCAGACUGUCCUCGUCUGAGAGAAAACCCUUGCAGUUGAAUGGCAAGGAAAAUUAGUCAGGUGAAGUAAAUCUCGACACCUGACACUAGUGGUCUCUCUUCAAAGUUGUUUGCACCACCGCCCCCAUACUUAAUGGUACAGCACCUACUGAUUAUUGCAUGCUCUGAGCUAGUCUGGUAAUUGCACAGUACAUACCUGUCCAGGGUGUAAGCCCAUCCGUUGAACACGGGGCCCCUCUGCUCACGGUAUCAUCGUAACUGAGUGAGGGAGCCUCCUAUCUGUCAUUCAGUAUCAGUCAAUGUCAGCGUGCAUCCCCACAUGUCCAGUUCAAAAGGUCAAUUCAUAGAAAGGUGUUCAAUCAGCUGAUGUUUAUGAAAGGUUUGAUCUCAUAUACCCAAUAACCAUAAUCUCAGAAGCUCAAGAUAAUACACAGAGUGAGAAUCUCCCCUACAAAAUUUUAGUCAUGAUGGUUUUUGACAGUCAUUUUUUAGGCAUGUAGACAGAGCAAACCUACGGUUGUUUUCAUGACAUCUGAAUGAGUCACACUCCGUCAGAGUCAGAUGUGUGCAUGUAUUUGGUUGACGGUGACGUCUGUGGUAGUACAGUAUGUAGUCUGUAACCACAGAAGCAUUUUAAAUAUAACAUCGGAGGAUUCUUUUGUAGUUAUUUUUGGGUGAUUUGUUUCAUCAUUGUCAGCAUCCUUCUUAACUGUAAAUCAGAGACAUUGCUUACCUUUUUGUCCCAUAAGAUCAUAUCACUAGGUGGUUAUGGCUUCUUUUGAUCAUCUUACAGUUGCAGAACAGCUCUAAAACACCCACGCUUACUUUGUAUGUGCCGGUGUAGUUGCUAAAUGUAUUGUCAGUGAAUCAAAGCAUAAGGUUUUUCACUUUCAUGUAACCAUUAUGAACAAACUCUUUGAUGGACUGAUAGGAGGCUGAAUGUACCUUAAUGAGGAAGUGUGGGGAAAAGGAGUAUUAUUAUCUGUAGUAUUAAAAAAAAUAGAAAAGAAA